rnacentral:lncRNA from 1 species
UAACGUCACACUAUAACGUCAUGGGAGUCUUGUGGAAAGACUAACGGUGUUAUUGUAAGAGGUCAUGGGUCAAGGUCCUCACAAUUAUAGGAAGAUGCGCAUGUGUGUGUGUGAGAGUGUGUCCUGUGUGUGUGUAUGUGUCCUGUUUGUGUGUGUGUGUGUGUGUGUGUGUGUGUGUGUGUGUGUGUGUGUGUGUGUGUGUGUGUGUGUGUGUGUGUGUGUGUGUGUGUGUGUCCAGUGUGUGUGUGUGUGUGUGUGUGUGAGUCCAGUGUGUGUGUGUUUGUUUGUCUAGUGUGUGUGUGUGUGUGUGUGUGUUUGUCCAGUGUGUGUGUGUGUGUGUGUGUGUGUGUGUGUGUGUGUGUUUGUCCAUGUGUGUGUGUGUGUGUGUGUGUGUGUUUGUUUUUGUCCAGUGUGUGUGUGUGUGUGUGUGUUUGUCCAGUGUGUGUGUGUGUGUGUGUUUGUCCAGUGUGUGUGUGUGUGUGUGUUUGUCCAGUGUGUGUGUGUGUGUGUGUUUGUCCAGUGUUUGUGUGUGUGUGUCCAGUGUGUGUGUGUGUGUGUGUCCAGUGUGUGUGUGUGUGUGUCCAGUGUGUGUGUGUGUGUGUCCAGUGUGUGUGUGUGUGUGUCCAGUGUGUGUGUGUGUGUGUCCAGUGUGUGUGAGUCCAGUGUGUGUGAGUCCAGUGUGUGUGUGUGUGUGAGUCCAGUGUGUGUGUGUGUGUGUGUUUGUCCAGUGUGUGUGUGUGUUUGUCCAGUGUGUGUGUGUGUGUGUGUGUGUGUGUGUUUGUCCAGUUUGUGUGUGUGUUUGUCCAGUGUGUGUGUGUGUGUGUGUGUGUGUUUGUGUGUGUGUUUGUCCAGUGUGUGUGUGUGUGUGUUUGUCCAGUGUGUGUGUGUUUGUCCAGUGUGUGUGUGUGUGUGUGUUUGUCCAGUGUGUGUGUGUGUGUGUGUUUGUCCAGUGUGUGUGUGUGUGUGUGUGUUUGUCCAGUGUGUGUGUGUGUGUGUGUGUGUUUGUCCAGUGUGUGUGUGUGUGUGUGUGUUUGUCCAGUGUGUGUGUGUGUGUGUGUGUUUGUCCAGUGUGUGUGUGUGUGUGUUUGUCCAGUGUGUGUGUGUGUGUGUGUCCAGUGUGUGUGUGUCCAGUGUGUGUGUGUGUGUGUGUCCAGUGUGUGUGUGUGUGUCCAGUGUGUGUGUGUGUGUCCAGUGUGUGUGUGUGUGUGUCCAGUGUGUGUGUGUGUGUGUCCAGUGUGUGUGUGUGUGUGUCCAGUGUGUGUGUGUGUGUGUCCAGUGUGUGUGUGUGUCCAGUGUGUGUGUGUGAGUCCAGUGUGUGUGUGUGUGUGUUUGUCUAGUGUGUGUGUCCAGUGUGUGUGUGUCUGUGUGUAUCCAGUGUUUGUGUGUGUGUGUGUCCAGUGUGUGUGUUUGUCCACUUUGUUUGUCCAGUGUGUGUGUGUGUGUGUGUCCAGUGUGUGUGUGUGUGUGUAUUUUUGUUUGACCAGUGUGUGUGUGUGUGUGUGUGUGUGUGUGUGUGUGUGUGUGUCCAGUGUGUGUGUGUGUAUGUGUGUGAGUGUGUGUGUGUUUUCGUUUGUCCAGUGUGUGUGUGUGUGUGUAAGUGUGUGUGUCCAGUGUGUGUGUGUGUGUGUGUGUGUGUAUGUUUUUGUCCAGUGUGUGUGUGUGUGUGUGUGUGUUUGUGUGUCCAGUGUGCGUGUGUCCAGAAUGUGUUUGUGUGUGUUUGUUCAGUGUGUGUGUUGAGAGUGUGUGUGUCUAUUUUGUGUCCAGUGUGUGUGUGUGUGUGUGUGUUUUGUGUGUGUUCAGUGUGUGUCCAUUUUGUGUCCAGUUUGUGUGUGUUCAGUGUGUGUUCAGUGUGUGUUCAGUGUGUGUGUGUGUGUGUGUGUGUGUGUGUGUCCAGUGUGUGUGUGUGUGUGUGCCCAGUUUGUGUGUCCAGUGUGUGUGUGUUUGUGUGUGUGUGUUUGUGUGUGUGUCCAGUGUGUGUGUGUUUGUGUGUGUGUUUGUGUGUGUGUGUGUGUGUGUGUGUGUGUGUGUGUGUGUUUGUCCAG